rnacentral:rRNA from 1 species
GGUUGCGAUCAUACCAGCACUAAUGCACCGGAUCCUAUCAGAACUCCGCAGUUAAGCGUGCUUGGGCGAGAGUAGUACUAGGAUGGGUGACCCCCUGGGAAGUCCUCGUGUUGCAACCCC